AUGAACGCUAGCUACAGGCUUAACACAUGCAAGUCGAGGGGCAUCAGGAAGAAAGCUUGCUUUCUUUGCUGGCGACCGGCGCACGGGUGAGUAACACGUAUCCAACCUGCCCUUUACUCGGGGAUAGCCUUUCGAAAGAAAGAUUAAUACCCGAUGGCAUAAUGAUUCCGCAUGGUUUCAUUAUUAAAGGAUUCCGGUAAAGGAUGGGGAUGCGUUCCAUUAGGUUGUUGGUGAGGUAACGGCUCACCAAGCCUUCGAUGGAUAGGGGUUCUGAGAGGAAGGUCCCCCACAUUGGAACUGAGACACGGUCCAAACUCCUACGGGAGGCAGCAGUGAGGAAUAUUGGUCAAUGGGCGCUAGCCUGAACCAGCCAAGUAGCGUGAAGGAUGAAGGCUCUAUGGGUCGUAAACUUCUUUUAUAUAAGAAUAAAGUGCAGUAUGUAUACUGUUUUGUAUGUAUUAUAUGAAUAAGGAUCGGCUAACUCCGUGCCAGCAGCCGCGGUAAUACGGAGGAUCCGAGCGUUAUCCGGAUUUAUUGGGUUUAAAGGGAGCGUAGGUGGACUGGUAAGUCAGUUGUGAAAGUUUGCGGCUCAACCGUAAAAUUGCAGUUGAUACUGUCAGUCUUGAGUACAGUAGAGGUGGGCGGAAUUCGUGGUGUAGCGGUGAAAUGCUUAGAUAUCACGAAGAACUCCGAUUGCGAAGGCAGCUCACUGGACUGCAACUGACACUGAUGCUCGAAAGUGUGGGUAUCAAACAGGAUUAGAUACCCUGGUAGUCCACACAGUAAACGAUGAAUACUCGCUGUUUGCGAUAUACAGUAAGCGGCCAAGCGAAAGCAUUAAGUAUUCCACCUGGGGAGUACGCCGGCAACGGUGAAACUCAAAGGAAUUGACGGGGGCCCGCACAAGCGGAGGAACAUGUGGUUUAAUUCGAUGAUACGCGAGGAACCUUACCCGGGCUUAAAUUGCAGUGGAAUGAUGUGGAAACAUGUCAGCCGCAAGGCAGUUGUGAAGGUGCUGCAUGGUUGUCGUCAGCUCGUGCCGUGAGGUGUCGGCUUAAGUGCCAUAACGAGCGCAACCCUUAUCUUUAGUUACUAACAGGUUAUGCUGAGGACUCUAGAGAGACUGCCGUCGUAAGAUGUGAGGAAGGUGGGGAUGACGUCAAAUCAGCACGGCCCUUACGUCCGGGGCUACACACGUGUUACAAUGGGGGGUACAGAAGGCAGCUAGCGGGUGACCGUAUGCUAAUCCCAAAAGCCUCUCUCAGUUCGGAUCGAAGUCUGCAACCCGACUUCGUGAAGCUGGAUUCGCUAGUAAUCGCGCAUCAGCCACGGCGCGGUGAAUACGUUCCCGGGCCUUGUACACACCGCCCGUCAAGCCAUGGGAGCCGGGGGUACCUGAAGUACGUAACCGCAAGGAUCGUCCUAGGGUAAAACUGGUGACUGGGGCU
rnacentral:rRNA from 1 species